AUGAGGUUAGCAACAAGAGCUAGAGGUGACUACUUCUCUUCUUGCAGCCAGAAUGACUUCCUUUGGAGUUAUCUCACCUGUGGCAGUGGAGGGAGCAGGGGCUUAGUGGGGCCCUCUCAUCAACUGGUGAGGAGGGGAUCUGCUUUGGAAUCAGCACGGCUGUAUUGACAAAGGCUACGGGAACAUUGGCCUACGUG
rnacentral:lncRNA from 1 species